rnacentral:rRNA from 1 species
AAAGAAACUAACAAGGAUUCCCCUAGUAACGGCGAGUGAAGCGGGAAGAGCACAAAUUUAAAAUCUACCUGGUUUCCAGGUCGAGUUGUAAUUUGAAGAUACGUUUUUGACGUUCUGGGUUGGACUAAAUCCUUUGGGAUAAGGUAUCAUAGAGGGUGAGAAUCCCGUAUAUACCAACCGUAGGGAUGUUAUUAAAUACGUUUCUAAGAGUCGAGUUGUUUGGGAAUGCAGCUCUAAAUGGGUGGUAAAUUUCACCUAAUGCUAAAUAUAAGCGAGAGACCGAUAGCGAACAAGUACAGUGAUGGAAAGAUGAAAAGAACUUUGAAAAGAGAGUUAAAUAGUACGUGAAAUUGUUGAAAGGGAAACGAUUGAAGUCAGUCAUGCCGGUGGGAAUCAACUUAGGGGAAACUCUGGGUGCACUUCUUCGCUUGGCAGGUCAACGUCGAUUUUGAAUGUCAUAAAAUAAUUGGGGGAAGGUAGCUCCUUCGGGAGUGUUAUAGCCCUUGGUAGAUGUGAUGUUUGGGGUCGAGGAUUGCAACGGAUACCCUUCGGGGCUAGCCGCCUGAUCUCUAAUUGGUGUUGGGUUACGGAUAGCAUGCUGACCGUGAUCUAAUUACUGGUUAAAAGGUUAGAGUGUGCAUAAAUUCNUUAAGGA